rnacentral:lncRNA from 1 species
GCCAAGCCCCAGUAUCACAGAAUUGAAGCUCCUCAGGAGACCAUCAGGUGGAAGAAAUCCCAGAACCCAAUCCCCCACAGAAGGAUUGUGAAGAAUUCAUGCCUGAAGAGCACUUUGUGGGAAUUGUCUUUUAAGACUGAAUUAUUGAGGUAUGGACAAACCUCUGCUUUCUUUUCACAGCUUUAUGUUGGUAGAAGGUGUAAUAUCCAUCCUGGCUUCCAAAGUUUCUCACCUACUUUCUGCAUUUUGGUGGAGUCUCAGCUGUUACAGCUGAGUGCAAAAGUCUUGUAA